UGGCCCAACUGAUUGAUGGUGCUUGCACCUGAUUGACGAUGGAUCACCAGUGAGUGGCGGACGGGUGAGUAACACGUAGGUAACCUGCCCCGGAGCGGGGGAUAACAUUUGGAAACAGAUGCUAAUACCGCAUAACAACAAAAGCCACAUGGCUUUUGUUUGAAAGAUGGCUUUGGCUAUCACUCUGGGAUGGACCUGCGGUGCAUUAGCUAGUUGGUAAGGUAACGGCUUACCAAGGCGAUGAUGCAUAGCCGAGUUGAGAGACUGAUCGGCCACAAUGGAACUGAGACACGGUCCAUACUCCUACGGGAGGCAGCAGUAGGGAAUCUUCCACAAUGGGCGCAAGCCUGAUGGAGCAACACCGCGUGAGUGAAGAAGGGUUUCGGCUCGUAAAGCUCUGUUGUUGGAGAAGAACGUGCGUGAGAGUAACUGUUCACGCAGUGACGGUAUCCAACCAGAAAGUCACGGCUAACUACGUGCCAGCAGCCGCGGUAAUACGUAGGUGGCAAGCGUUAUCCGGAUUUAUUGGGCGUAAAGCGAGCGCAGGCGGUUGCUUAGGUCUGAUGUGAAAGCCUUCGGCUUAACCGAAGAAGUGCAUCGGAAACCGGGCAACUUGAGUGCAGAAGAGGACAGUGGAACUCCAUGUGUAGCGGUGGAAUGCGUAGAUAUAUGGAAGAACACCAGUGGCGAAGGCGGCUGUCUGGUCUGCAACUGACGCUGAGGCUCGAAAGCAUGGGUAGCGAACAGGAUUAGAUACCCUGGUAGUCCAUGCCGUAAACGAUGAGUGCUAGGUGUUGGAGGGUUUCCGCCCUUCAGUGCCGGAGCUAACGCAUUAAGCACUCCGCCUGGGGAGUACGACCGCAAGGUUGAAACUCAAAGGAAUUGACGGGGGCCCGCACAAGCGGUGGAGCAUGUGGUUUAAUUCGAAGCUACGCGAAGAACCUUACCAGGUCUUGACAUCUUGCGCUAACCUUAGAGAUAAGGCGUUCCCUUCGGGGACGCAAUGACAGGUGGUGCAUGGUCGUCGUCAGCUCGUGUCGUGAGAUGUUGGGUUAAGUCCCGCAACGAGCGCAACCCUUGUUACUAGUUGCCAGCAUUAAGUUGGGCACUCUAGUGAGACUGCCGGUGACAAACCGGAGGAAGGUGGGGACGACGUCAGAUCAUCAUGCCCCUUAUGACCUGGGCUACACACGUGCUACAAUGGACGGUACAACGAGUCGCAAGCUCGCGAGAGUAAGCUAAUCUCUUAAAGCCGUUCUCAGUUCGGACUGUAGGCUGCAACUCGCCUACACGAAGUCGGAAUCGCUAGUAAUCGCGGAUCAGCAUGCCGCGGUGAAUACGUUCCCGGGCCUUGUACACACCGCCCGUCACACCAUGGGAGUUUGUAAC
rnacentral:rRNA from 1 species